AAUGGGCGCAAGCCUGACGGAGCAAGACCGCGUGAGGGAGGAAGGCUCUUGGGUUGUAAACCUCUUUUAUCAGGGAAGAAGAUCUGACGGUACCUGAUGAAUCAGCAUCGGCUAACUCCGUGCCAGCAGCCGCGGUAAUACGGAGGAUGCAAGCGUUAUCCGGAUUUAUUGGGCGUAAAGCGUCCGCAGGUGGUUUUUCAAGUCUGCUGUUAAAGCGCAGAGCUUAACUCYGUAWCGGCGGUGGAAACUGAGAGACUAGAGUAUGGUAGGGGUUGCGGGAAUUCCCAGUGUAGCGGUGAAAUGCGUAGAUAUUGGGAAGAACACCAGCGGCGAAAGCGCGCAACUGGGCCAUUACUGACACUCAUGGACGAAAGCUAGGGGAGCGAAAGGGAUUAGAUACCCC
rnacentral:rRNA from 1 species